CAUGCAAGUCGUACGAGAGUUUUUAACUCUAGUGGCGGACGGGUGAGUAACACGUGAGAAUUUGCCUUUAGGAGGGGGAUAACAAUUGGAAACGAAUGCUAAUACCCCAUAUGCUUCCGAGUGAAAUGGAUUUAUAUUUAUCCGCCUAAAGAGAAGCUCGCGGCUGAUUAGCUUGUUGGUAAGGUAAGAGCUUACCAAGGCGACGAUCAGUAUCUGGUUUGAGAGGACGAUCAGACACACUGGAACUGAGACACGGUCCAGACUCCUACGGGAGGCAGCAGUGGGGAAUUUUCCGCAAUGGGCGAAAGCCUGACGGAGCAAUACCGCGUGAGGGAAGACUGCCUAUGGGUUGUAAACCUCUUUUUUCAGGGAGGAAUAAAUGACGUGUACCUGAAGAAUAAGCAUCGGCUAACUCCGUGCCAGCAGCCGCGGUAAGACGGAGGAUGCAAGUGUUAUCCGGAAUCACUGGGCGUAAAGCGUCUGUAGGUGGUUUAAUAAGUCAACUGUUAAAUCUUGAGGCUCAACUUCAAAAUCGCAGUCGAAACUAUUAGACUAGAGUAUAGUAGAGGUAAAGGGAAUUUCCAGUGGAGCGGUGAAAUGCGUAGAUAUUGGAAAGAACACCGAUGGCGAAAGCACUUUACUGGGCUAUUACUAACA
rnacentral:rRNA from 1 species